GCUUCGGUGGUGGAAUUGGCAGACACACUACACUCAAAAUGUAGCGCCGAAAGGCAUGCGGGUUCGACUCCCGCCCGAAGCACAA
rnacentral:tRNA from 1 species